GGGGGAUAUUGCGCAAUGGGGGCAACCCUGACGCAGCAACGCCGCGUGAAGGAUGAAGGUUUUCGGAUUGUAAACUUCUUUUAUUAAGGACGAAACUUGACGGUACUUAAUGAAUAAGCUCCGGCUAACUACGUGCCAGCAGCCGCGGUAAUACGUAGGAAGCAAGCGUUGUCCGGAUUUACUGGGUGUAAAGGGUGCGUAGGCGGCUUUGCAAGUCAGAUGUGAAAUCUAUGGGCUCAACCCAUAAACUGCAUUUGAAACUGUAGAGCUUGAGUGAAGUAGAGGCAGGCGGAAUUCCCCGUGUAGCGGUGAAAUGCGUAGAGAUGGGGAGGAACACCAGUGGCGAAAGCGGCCUGCUGGGCUUUAACUGACGCUGAGGCACGAAAGCGUGGGUAGCAAACAGGAUUAGAUACCCUGGUAGUCCACGCUGUAAACGAUGAUUACUAGGUGUGGGGGGUCUGACCCCUUCCGUGCCGGAGUUAACACAAUAAGUAAUCCACCUGGGGAGUACGGCCGCAAGGUUGAAACUCAAAGGAAUUGACGGGGGCCCGCACAAGCAGUGGAGUAUGUGGUUUAAUUCGAAGCAACGCGAAGAACCUUACCAGGUCUUGACAUCCAACUAACGAAGUAGAGAUACAUUAGGUGCCCUUCGGGGAAAGUUGAGACAGGUGGUGCAUGGUUGUCGUCAGCUCGUGUCGUGAGAUGUUGGGUUAAGUCCCGCAACGAGCGCAACCCUUGCUAUUAGUUGCUACGCAAGAGCACUCUAAUAGGACUGCCGUUGACAAAACGGAGGAAGGUGGGGACGACGUCAAAUCAUCAUGCCCCUUAUGACCUGGGCUACACACGUACUACAAUGGAUGUUAACAGAGGGAAGCAAGACAGCGAUGUGGAGCAAACCCCUAAAAACAUUCUCAGUUCAGAUUGCAGGCUGCAACCCGCCUGCAUGAAGAUGGAAUUGCUAGUAAUCGCGGAUCAGCAUGCCGCGGUGAAUACGUUCCCG
rnacentral:rRNA from 2 species